CUCAUAAAGCACAAAUUUGUCAUCCUUUCCUUUGAAGAAAAAAACUAUUGCUCCCUUUCUAAGAUACUACUGCUUAGUUAAAUAUUUGUAACAAACAUGGUACUAAGAUUGAACAUCGAUCAAAUAGCAUUAACAACACGAGAUUGGAUUUGCAAAGUUCAAAUUGUGGAAAUCGGACGCCAAAGAGAAAGCCCUGACAAAUAACAAGAGCUAUCAGCGACGGCUAUGAAUUGUGUUUGACGUUAAAUAUCCUAUGUAUCUAAUUUGUUUAUUUCAUGUAUUUGAUGUAAUAUUUUUAUGUAUUUAAACUUUUAUGUUAGUGUAUCUAAGUUUUUAUCUGCUUUAUGUUAAUGUAUCUAAGUUA